GGCCAGUGAGCUCAGCUGGUUAGAGCGUGGUGCUGAUAACACCAAGGUCGCGGGUUCAAUCCCUGUUCGGUCUC
rnacentral:tRNA from 1 species